UCAAGUUCGCUGAUGACACGACCGUGGUGGGUCUAAUCAGCAGGAACGAUGAGUCAGCAUAUAGAGAAGAGGUGCAAUGGUUAACUGCCUGGUGGCUCAUACAGAAGUUUGUUUAAAACCAAACACAUUUUUGUGGGUCGAUGGUGAUUUUAUGACAAAACAGAAAAAUAUUUGAUGUGAAAUUUGCAUUCCGUUUUUCUUAACGUUACACGUUAAGCAAUUAACUUACUAAUCAGGCAGAUUCCUAUAGAAAUACUUGAUGCUAUGAUCCAAUUUGUUACAUAUAAAUCCGUAAUAUAAAUAUAUUCACUGAAAAACGUUACCAUAUUAUUUUCUAUAAUGGUAAUGAUAUUUAAAGUACAUGAAUUUGAUAUUAGACAUGAAUAGAUAACAUGACACAUUAGCCAUUAGUUAUUGACCUUGCAGUAUAAAAAAUGACUUAAGUCUGCAUGCUGAACAACACUGCUUAGUUACAGUACUGUGCAAAAGUCUUAGGUGUGCUAGUAUUUUACCCCCAAAAGAGGUUUUAAGCCAGUUAAGUUUUUCCUUUGCUGUAUUGUACCAGUAAGAAUUUUCAGCUUACAUUUUUAAACAUUCAUUUUGUCAUUAUUUGUAAUAAUCCAGUUAGAUUUUUGUAUGCACAAGGAGUCUGACAACAGCCGGUGCUACACACUUGAUCUCAUCAUCAUCAAAUUAUUAUUAGUAUUAUUACAUGAAAACUGAGACAAACUAAAUUCAGAAGAAUUAACUUGCUUAAAACUUAACUGGCUUAAAACCUCUUUUGGGUUAAAAAUACUAGCAUGCCUAAGACUUUUGCACAGUUCAGUAUGUGUUGACAACAUUAUUCUCUUCACAGAACCAAAGCAUUGAGGUGAGGCGUAAAGCUAUUAUCCGGAGCCUCAUACUGUACCUUGGCGAAAAAGAAGAGAAGCUUUUUGAAGAAUGCCUGGAGGACAGUUGCAGUGACACCAUGCAACACAUCCUUAAGAUUCUGGUGGUCUAUGGAGCUGGUGUAGAGGAUUCAGUGGAUGUAUCUAUUAUUCUCGAAGGCCGGGAGAUCCUACCAAGAUGUCACAACGUGGCUAAAGCUCGUGCACUACAUAUGGGGUUGAUUUAUGCCCUCAACCUUGCAUACCCCAAAGCCCUGCGCUAUACUUUUGAGGUGUUUCAAAAACUUUUUCUAGAACUGGAUGGGAUUAAGUUGUCCUCUAAAAUUCAAACUUUAAAGUCCAAGCUGCUGACUUAAAGUGUGUUUGUGAUGGCAAGUUCUGCACAUUAUUGGAUGAAAUUACAACACCCCAACUCAGUGUUUCAUCCUGCAUGUUCUGGUGAACCCUUUUCAUAAAUAAUUAUUUUGGCUUGUUUCCUGCACUUUGGUACAUAAUUUGCACUUUUGCCAUUUGUACUAAAUUGAUCUUUAGUAGCGUUUUCAGUUUUAUGCCUUAUAACCACCUGGUCUUACUGUCACCAAGAGUGACCAGACUUUAGAAGCAUUGAUGUGUUUAUACUGUGUGUUUUGAAUUGACUUUAUUCAAGGCAAAUAGUGGUGGGAAUAUGUUAAAGUUAUAAUUUUUUGCCAGUUUUCAUUUACUUUUAUGUAGAGCGUUUAACAUCUUUAACAAACAUAUUUAACAUCUGUUUUAUGCAAAAUGUUUUGAUACCGUUGGGAAAAAAUAACAAUUGAAUUGUAUUAACCACUGUGAUUUGUGUUGAAUGCAUACACAAAGUGAUUAAAUUUAUUUGGUAAUAUCA